ACUCCUUCAUCAAUUGAUAACAACAAUGUGCAACCUUGCACUCUUAAAAGACUACUCAAAACUCACAAAUUCCAUCCAAGACCAAGAAUAAUAGACUUCAUUUCAAUCAAUCUAGAUUCACAAAAUUUCUAUAAUCACAGACUUCCUCUGUCAAAAUACACAUACAAAUCUCAAUAAACAAUAAUCAUAAUCUUCCAUCCAUAAUCAAUCUUCCAAUAACUUCUCAUGUAAUUCAAUAACUCAGUACUCCAAUUACAUAAUCAAUAACUCAUACAUCAAUCUCUAAUUUAUUCCACAAAUUCACUUCUCAAUAUUCAAAAACUAUCCAUUACUCUUCAACAACAAAGAAAUAAAAAGAGAUAGCACCAAGCUUACCCCGGUUCAUGACUAUCACAGUCUGGUACUCCAACAAACUUCUACAACUCCUAUAUAAUUGCUUCUAAUUUCCA
rnacentral:lncRNA from 1 species